rnacentral:rRNA from 1 species
GGUUAAGCGACUAAGCGUACACGGUGGAUGCCCUGGCAGUCAGAGGCGAUGAAGGACGUGCUAAUCUGCGAUAAGCGUCGGUGAGGUGAUAUGAACCGUUAUAACCGGCGAUUUCCGAAUGGGGAAACCCAGUGUGUUUCGACACACUAUCAUUAACUGAAUCCAUAGGUUAAUGAGGCGAACCGGGGGAACUGAAACAUCUAAGUACCCCGAGGAAAAGAAAUCAACCGAGAUUCCCCCAGUAGCGGCGAGCGAACGGGGAGGAGCCCAGAGCCUGAAUCAGUGUGUGUGUUAGUGGAAGCGUCUGGAAAGGCGUGCGAUACAGGGUGACAGCCCCGUACACAAAAAUGCACAUAUUGUGAGCUCGAUGAGUAGGGCGGGACACGUGGUAUCCUGUCUGAAUAUGGGGGGACCAUCCUCCAAGGCUAAAUACUCCUGACUGACCGAUAGUGAACCAGUACCGUGAGGGAAAGGCGAAAAGAACCCCGGCGAGGGGAGUGAAAAAGAACCUGAAACCGUGUACGUACAAGCAGUGGGAGCCUCUUAAUGGGGUGACUGCGUACCUUUUGUAUAAUGGGUCAGCGACUUAUAUUCUGUAGCAAGGUUAACCGAAUAGGGGAGCCGAAGGGAAACCGAGUCUUAACUGGGCGUUAAGUUGCAGGGUAUAGACCCGAAACCCGGUGAUCUAGCCAUGGGCAGGUUGAAGGUUGGGUAACACUAACUGGAGGACCGAACCGACUAAUGUUGAAAAAUUAGCGGAUGACUUGUGGCUGGGGGUGAAAGGCCAAUCAAACCGGGAGAUAGCUGGUUCUCCCCGAAAGCUAUUUAGGUAGCGCCUCGUGAAUUCAUCUCCGGGGGUAGAGCACUGUUUCGGCAAGGGGGUCAUCCCGACUUACCAACCCGAUGCAAACUGCGAAUACCGGAGAAUGUUAUCACGGGAGACACACGGCGGGUGCUAACGUCCGUCGUGAAGAGGGAAACAACCCAGACCGCCAGCUAAGGUCCCAAAGUCAUGGUUAAGUGGGAAACGAUGUGGGAAGGCCCAGACAGCCAGGAUGUUGGCUUAGAAGCAGCCAUCAUUUAAAGAAAGCGUAAUAGCUCACUGGUCGAGUCGGCCUGCGCGGAAGAUGUAACGGGGCUAAACCAUGCACCGAAGCUGCGGCAGCGACACUAUGUGUUGUUGGGUAGGGGAGCGUUCUGUAAGCCUGUGAAGGUGGCCUGUGAGGGUUGCUGGAGGUAUCAGAAGUGCGAAUGCUGACAUAAGUAACGAUAAAGCGGGUGAAAAGCCCGCUCGCCGGAAGACCAAGGGUUCCUGUCCAACGUUAAUCGGGGCAGGGUGAGUCGACCCCUAAGGCGAGGCCGAAAGGCGUAGUCGAUGGGAAACAGGUUAAUAUUCCUGUACUUGGUGUUACUGCGAAGGGGGGACGGAGAAGGCUAUGUUGGCCGGGCGACGGUUGUCCCGGUUUAAGCGUGUAGGCUGGUUUUCCAGGCAAAUCCGGAAAACCAAGGCUGAGGCGUGAUGACGAGGCACUACGGUGCUGAAGCGACAAAUGCCCUGCUUCCAGGAAA